UGAAGCCUACUCGUGUCCCCCUCCCCAUCGCUGCAAUCAUGCCGCCGAAGGCUGGCCAGACGAAGAAGGCCAAGAUGGAGGCCGCCAACAAGGGCGCGAAGAAGACCACGAAGAAGUGGAGCAAGGGCCAGUCCCGCGAGGCUCUGCAGAACGCCGUGAUGUUCGACAAGGAGACGUACGACAAGCUCCGCAGCGAGGUGCCCAAGUACAAACUCAUCACCCCGUCGAUCAUCUCCGACCGACUCAAGAUUGCCGUCUCCAUCGCCGCCGCGGGCCUCAAGCAGCUGUGCCGCGAAAAGCUCAUCCGCCUGGUGUCGUGCUCCAGCAAGACCCGCGUGUACACGCGCAUCGUGCAGGCCGCCCCGGCUGAGGCGGCUGCCGCUGCUCCGGCUGCCGAGUAAAGAGGGCGUGCCUGGGGAGAGGGAGACAUUGGCGGCCCAGGUGGUGCGUGUGCGCGGAUCUGCGUGCAGAGGUGCGCAGGGCGCGCGCUCUCGUCUUUUGGUCUCUUUCUGUUUUCGCUUUAUUUCUGUUUUUUUCUCCUUUUCAACAGCAAGAACAGCCACCACGCGCACCAAGCGAAGGUAACGUGAGACUCGGCUUGUGGGAUUGCUUCGGUGCGCGGGGGGGGAACGGCGAGGAGGUGGGGUGGUGGGUGGGGACCUCCCCUCAUCUGCCUCCUGCGCAGCACCCCAUCACUCACGCGCACACAGAUGAGCAAGUCCGCCGACGCACUGCAGGCCACCCAACUGUGCUUCGUGUUGCUCGUGCAUCGAUCUCCCUCUGUGCAAGCGAAUAGGCUCUCCUCAGAUCAGAUGUGAUUUUCGUUCCCCUCCACAUCACUUCCUCGAGCAGCUGACCUUUACCAUGUCUUCGCAGGCGAUGACGGCGCCCACUAGACCUCGCCCACUCCACCGCUGUUGCCAACAUUGCAACUGCUUCUCUGUACUUCUCUGUGUUUCUCGCACUCUCUUCCCCCUCCCCCACCGUUUCCAUCUCCGCGCGUGUGCGCGUCGCUGUACACUCUUCGCUGGAUGCCGGAUCCCACGCAAACACACACGCACACACACAUACAUCAG
rnacentral:misc_RNA from 1 species